rnacentral:rRNA from 1 species
UGGCGACCGGCGCACGGGUGAGUAACGCGUAUGCAACUUACCUAUCAGAGGGGGAUAGCCCGGCGAAAGUCGGAUUAAUACCCCAUAAAACAGGGGUCCCGCAUGGGAAUAUUUGUUAAAGAUUCAUCGCUGAUAGAUAGGCAUGCGUUCCAUUAGGCAGUUGGCGGGGUAACGGCCCACCAAGCCUUCGAUGGAUAGGGGUUCUGAGAGGAAGGUCCCCCACAUUGGAACUGAGACACGGUCCAA